GAUGAAGAACGCAGCGAAAUGCGAUACGUAAUGUGAAUUGCAGAAUUCAGUGAAUCAUCGAGUCUUUGAACGCACAUUGCGCCCCCUGGUAUUCCGGGGGGCAUGCCUGUCCGAGCGUCAUUGCUGCCCUUCAAGCCCGGCUUGUGUGUUGGGUCGUCGUCCCCCCCGGGGGACGGGCCCGAAAGGCAGCGGCGGCACCGCGUCCGGUCCUCGAGCGUAUGGGGCUUUGUCACCCGCUCGAUUAGGGCCGGCCGGGCGCCAGCCGGCGUCUCCAACCUUCUAUUUUACCAGGUUGACCUCGGAUCAGGUAGGGAUACCCGCUGAACUUAAGCAUAUCAAUAAGCGGAGGA
rnacentral:misc_RNA from 1 species